GCGUGUGUGAAGAAGGCCUGCGGGUUGUAAAGCACUUUCAAUUGGGAAGAAAAGCGAAGGGCUAAUACCUCUUUGUCUUGACGUUACCUUUAGAAGAAGCACCGGCUAACUCCGUGCCAGCAGCCGCGGUAAUACGGAGGGUGCAAGCGUUAAUCGGAAUUACUGGGCGUAAAGGGUGCGUAGGUGGCCCGAUCAGUCAGAUGUGAAAGCCCCGGGCUUAACCUGGGAACUGCAUUUGAUACUGUCGAGCUAGAGUAUGGUAGAGGGAAGUGGAAUUCCGGGUGUAGCGGUGAAAUGCGU
rnacentral:rRNA from 1 species